AGGAUCUGAUUCUGAAGCAACAGCCUCCAAAAUAAAGAUCAGAGAUUCAGAAAAGUUGUUUGCUUUUUUCAAGGGUUGGAAUGGCAAGGAAACUAGUUAAGCCUUCGCUAAAUAAGCAAUCUUUCUUCAAGAUCCUACUUGGUGACUUCUCUCAGCGUCUGCGUAUACCACCUAAGUUUGUCAAGAACUUCAAUGUAUUCACAAAUGUGCUCUCAGUGGCCCUAGUGGAAUUCGGUGGACUGUGGAAUUGGAAGAGAGAGAGAAUGGCUUGUUCUUCCAAGAUGGUUGGCAAGGGUUUGUGAAGGAUCAUCAUUUAGAAGAUGGGGAUUUUUUGGUUUUCAAAUAUGAUGGUGAAUCAAAGUUUAAAGUCACAAUCUAUGAUAGAACUGCUUGUGAGAAGAAUGUAAAGGUAGCUGAGAGGAGUGGCAGUCCUGUUUCCUUGGCUAACAAAGGGAAAGCUCAAGUUAAAGAAGAAAUUGUUGACCCUGAAACUAGAAACUACAACAAAAACUGUCAAAACAAAGCAAUUGUUUCUGGCAGAAGAAGUGGCAAUUAUGUUAUACCUGGGAGGAGACCUGCAAAUGAUCAUGUAGGAGCAACAUCAACUGAACCCGUCUUGUUCAAACCGAAGUAUUCAUGUUUCAUGGUAACUUUCACGAGUAGGAGCAACAUCAACUGAACCCGUCUUGUUUAAACCGAAGUAUUCAUGUUUCAUGGUAACUUUCACGAGGAAACUUCGAUAUGGCGUUCCAAUUCCCAAGGAAGUAGCCGUAACUGAAGGUCUUCUUAGCAAGAAGAGUAUGAUGAUUCAUGAUCCAACUGGGAGAUCAUGGCCUGUUAAACUUAGAGUCCGGGGCAAAGUAUCUUCUUGUCGUGUGAACAUGUCUACAGGUUUGGUAGACUGUUGUAACGCGAACCAGAUUAUACCCGGGGACACCGCCAUUUUUGAAUUUGUCAAGCCAAGUCUGGCACAAAUUCAUAUUUUCAGAGUGGGUGGCAAUUCUGUGGUACUAGCUGCACCUGAUGUUAAAGACUAAAGCUAGCCGACUCCAAAGCCUCAACUUGUAAUACUUUCUGGGAAUGUUUUGACUGCAAUAUCCACAUAUCUAUUUUAGUGCGUGUGAAAUAUUUUCUGAUUGUUGUGCUUUAGAUUUCUCUCUUGUAAAUAUGAUGCAGAUGCACUUGGAUUGAGACAGUUGAGUUUAUAUAACUCGGUGGUUGUGUACAUGUAAAGUAGAGUAUUUUGUCUUUCGGUAACCAUGUUCCAUGUCCUUGUUCAGA